CCUACGGGCGGCAGCAGUGAGGAAUAUUGGUCAAUGGCCGGAAGGCUGAACCAGCCAAGCCGCGUGAGGGAGGAAGGCGCAGAGCGUCGCAGACCUCUUUUGCCGGGGGACAAAAGGCCGGACUCGUCCGGUCCUGAGGGUACCCGGAGAAAAAGCAUCGGCUAACUCCGUGCCAGCAGCCGCGGUAAUACGGAGGAUGCGAGCGUUAUCCGGAUUCAUUGGGUUUAAAGGGUGCGCAGGCGGAGGUGCAAGUCAGCGGUCAAAUUGCGGGGCUCAACCCCGUACUGCCGUUGAAACUGCAUCCCUUGAGUGCGCGAGAAGUAUGCGGAAUGCGUGGUGUAGCGGUGAAAUGCAUAGAUAUCACGCAGAACUCCGAUUGCGAAGGCAGCAUACCGGCGCGCAACUGACGCUCAUGCACGAAAGCGUGGGUAUCGAACAGGAUUAGAUACCCGGGUAGUC
rnacentral:rRNA from 1 species